GAUGAACGCUAGCUACAGGCUUAACACAUGCAAGUCGAGGGGCAUCAGGAAGAAAGCUUGCUUUCUUUGCUGGCGACCGGCGCACGGGUGAGUAACACGUAUCCAACCUGCCCUUUACUCGGGGAUAGCCUUUCGAAAGAAAGAUUAAUACCCGAUAGCAUAAUGAUUCCGCAUGGUUUCAUUAUUAAAGGAUUCCGGUAAAGGAUGGGGAUGCGUUCCAUUAGGUUGUUGGUGAGGUAACGGCUCACCAAGCCUUCGAUGGAUAGGGGUUCUGAGAGGAAGGUCCCCCACAUUGGAACUGAGACACGGUCCAAACUCCUACGGGAGGCAGCAGUGAGGAAUAUUGGUCAAUGGGCGCUAGCCUGAACCAGCCAAGUAGCGUGAAGGAUGAAGGCUCUAUGGGUCGUAAACUUCUUUUAGUUGGGAAUAAAAAGAGGGACGUGUCCCUUAUUGUAUGUACCAUCAGAAAAAGGACCGGCUAAUUCCGUGCCAGCAGCCGCGGUAAUACGGAAGGUCCAGGCGUUAUCCGGAUUUAUUGGGUUUAAAGGGAGCGCAGGCGGCGGCGUAGGUCAGUUGUGAAAUCGUGCGGCUUAACCGUGCAAUUGCAGUUGAUACUGCGUCGCUUGAGUGCACACAGGGAUGUUGGAAUUCAUGGUGUAGCGGUGAAAUGCUUAGAUAUCAUGAAGAACUCCGAUCGCGAAGGCAUAUGUCCGGAGUGCAACUGACGCUGAGGCUCGAAAGUGUGGGUAUCAAACAGG
rnacentral:rRNA from 1 species